GAUAUAAAGGAGCCGGUAUCAAGUACACAAUUGUAGCUCAAAACACCUUGCUAAGCCACACCCCCACGGGAAACAGCAGUGAUAAAACUUAAGCAAUAAACGAAAGUUUGACUAAGUCAUGCAUAAUAGAGCUGGUCAACUUCGUGCCAGCCACCGCGGUCAUACGAUGAGCUCUAAUUAAUAAACUACGGCGUAAAGAGUGUUUAAGAAAUACCAAAUAAUUAAGAGAAAACUUAGUUUAAGUCGUAAAAAACCUUAACUAAAGUAAGCCAGCCAACGAAAGUACUCUUAUAUAGUCUGAAUACACGAUAGCUAAGGCCCAAACUGGGAUUAGAUACCCCACUAUGCUUAGCCGUAAACAAUAACAUUUAUACAACAAAAAUCUUCGCCAGAGAACUACUAGCCACAGCUAAAAACUCAAAGGACUUGGCGGCACUUCACAUCCCUCUAGAGGAGCUUGUUCUAUAAUCGAUAAACCCCGAUAAACCUAACCACCUUUUGCUAAAUCAGCCUAUAUACCGCCAUCU
rnacentral:rRNA from 1 species